UAAGCAGAUAGUGAAGCGUGUGGCUCAACCAUACUCACAUUAUCUGAACUGCUAAACUAGAGGACGAGAGAGGUCACUGGAAUUCCUAGUGUAGGAGUGAAAUCCGUAGAUAUUAGGAGGAACACCAAUGGCGUAGGCAGGUGACUGGCUCGUUCCUGACGCUCAGGCACGAAAGCGUGGGAGCAAACGGGAUUAGAUACCCCGGUAGUCCACGCCGUAAACGAUGGAUGCUA
rnacentral:rRNA from 1 species